rnacentral:rRNA from 1 species
AGCAGCCGCGGUAAUUCCAGCUCCAAUAGCGUAUAUUAAAGUUGUUGCAGUUAAAAGCUCGUAGUUGAAUUUCGGGAUUAGUGCGCUGGUCAUGCCUUUGGUAUGUACUGGUGUUACUGGUUCCUACCUUCUGAAGAACCGUCAUGUCAUUCAUUUGGUGUGGCGGGGAAUCAGGACUGUUACUUUGAAAAAAUUAGAGUGUUUAAAGCAGGCUCGCGCUUGAAUACAUUAGCAUGGAAUAAUGAAAUAGGACGUUUGACCCUAUUUUGUUGGUUUCUAGGAUCGACGUAAUGAUUAAUAGGGAUAGUUGGGGGCAUUAGUAUUCAAUUGUCAGAGGUGAAAUUCUUGGAUUUAUUGAAGACUAACUACUGCGAAAGCAUUUGCCAAGGAUGUUUUCAUUAAUCAAGAACGAAAGUUAGGGGAUCGAAGACGAUCAGAUACCGUCGUAGUCUUAACCAUAAACUAUGCCGACUAGGGAUCGGAUGAUGUUAUUUUUAACGACUCAUUCGGCGCCUUACGG